AUUAAACGCUGGCGGCAUGCCUUACACAUGCAAGUCGAACGGCAGCACGGGGGCAACCCUGGUGGCGAGUGGCGAACGGGUGAGUAAAGCAUCGGAACGUGCCCUGGAGUGGGGGAUAACGUAGCGAAAGUUACGCUAAUACCGCAUAUUCUGUGAGCAGGAAAGCAGGGGAUCGCAAGACCUUGCGCUCUGGGAGCGGCCGAUGUCGGAUUAGCUAGUUGGUGGGGUAAAAGCCUACCAAGGCGACGAUCCGUAGCGGGUCUGAGAGGAUGAUCCGCCACACUGGGACUGAGACACGGCCCAGACUCCUACGGGAGGCAGCAGUGGGGAAUAUUGGACAAUGGGCGCAAGCCUGAUCCAGCAAUGCCGCGUGUGUGAAGAAGGCCUGCGGGUUGUAAAGCACUUUCAGUGGGGAAGAAAGCGCUGGGGUUAAUACCCCCGGCUUCUGACGUUUACCCACAGAAGAAGCACCGGCUAACUCCGUGCCAGCAGCCGCGGUAA
rnacentral:rRNA from 1 species